rnacentral:rRNA from 1 species
AACGAACGCUGGCGGCAUGCCUAACACAUGCAAGUCGAACGAAACCUUCGGGUCUAGUGGCGCACGGGUGCGUCACGCGUGGGAACCUGCACUUAGGUUCGGAAUAACUCAGAGAAAUUUGAGCUAAUACCGGAUAAUGUCUUCGGACCAAAGAUUUAUCGCCUUUGGAUGGGCCCGCGUAGGAUUCGCUUGUUGGGGGGGUAAUGGCCUACCACGGCGACGAUCCUUAGCUGGUUUGAGAGGAUGAUCAGCCACACUGGGACUGAGACACGGCCCAGACUCCUACGGGAGGCAGCAGUGGGGAAUAUUGGACAAUGGGCGAAAGGCUGAUGCAGCAAUGCCGCGUGAGUGAUGAAGGCCUUAGGGUAGUAAAGCUCUUUUACCAGGGAUGAUAAUGACAGUACCUGGAGAAUAAGCGCCGGCUAACUCCGUG